rnacentral:rRNA from 1 species
UACGUAGGGAGCGAGCGUUGUCCGGAAUUACUGGGUGUAAAGGGAGCGUAGGCGGGAUUGCAAGUCAGAUGUGAAAGGCGGGAGCUUAACUCCCGAGCUGCAUUUGAAACUGUAGUUCUUGAGUGAAGUAGAGGUAAGCGGAAUUCCUGGUGUAGCGGUGAAAUGCGUAGAUAUCAGGAGGAACACCGGUGGCGAAGGCGGCUUACUGGGCUUUUACUGACGCUGAGGCUCGAAAGCGUGGGGAG